AUACCCCCGGAAGAAGUUCUGGAUUGAAAAGCCUAUCAGUCCUGCAAUCAGAAAACGGAUAGAAGAAUUUUCAGAUAAACUUCUUUGUUUAGAGAAAGGACUCAGAGGAUUCCAUGGAAAAUUGAUGAGGGAUCUGGAAUAUAAGACAAAUUGGAGUUGCUCUGGAUCAUGAUGGUGGGACGGUAACCUUUACCAAUGCCAGAACUCAAGAGUUCAUCUAUGAAUUCUCAUCUGCCUUCACUGGGAGAAUUUUCCCUUUCCUGUGGCUUAACUGCAUGAGAUCCAGACUUAUGCUGAGACCCUGAGAGAGGAUCUCCUGGCACAGCCCCACGUUUUGUCAUUUACCCUUUGUUCCUUUUCAUCAGUCCCAGCUGUGCCUCAGCUGGAUGGUCCUGCUGGGUUUCUGAUUACACUCAGAUGACUGGAGCUUUAUGGCAGUCAUGAGUCUCUUGUCCUCGCAGCUUUCUCUCUAAAAUGGGGACAGUAAUAGUUGAUCUUUUUUCUCUAAGGGGAAUGGUUGGAAUGUCUUUAAUGUACUUAUUAAAAUGUGUCUUAACUAAUUUAUCUCUUCUGUUGCCUUUGAUUUGGUUCUUCACC
ensembl:lncRNA